rnacentral:ribozyme from 1 species
UGGAUCUUCUGAACAAUUCAUAAUUUUGAACAGCUUCCACUGUUGGAAGAAAUGCUUUCUCAGUAUCUUCUCUAGUUUUCUCGACUUCUAAAACUUCCUUCGCAGUGUAAAAGACCAUAACUGGUUUGCCACCUACAACACUUGUUUUCAGUGGGUUAAGCUGAGAAUCAGGAGGUAUCCAUCUGGAAUUUCGGCCAUGCAACGAUU